UACAGAGGGGGCAAGCGUUAUUCGGAAUUAUUGGGCGUAAAGGGCGCGUAGGCGGCUUUUCAAGUGACGGGUGAAAGCCCUCGGCUUAACCGAGGAACUGCCUGUCAGACUGGAAGGCUUGAGACCGGGAGAGGUGAGUGGAAUUCCCAGUGUAGCGGUGAAAUGCGUAGAUAUUGGGAGGAACACCAGUGGCGAAGGCGGCUCACUGGACCGGAACUGACGCUGAGGCGCGAAAGCGUGGGGAGCGAGCAGG
rnacentral:rRNA from 1 species